rnacentral:misc_RNA from 1 species
GCAGCCUACUGGGAUAGUUGA